rnacentral:rRNA from 1 species
AUUGAACGCUGGCGGCAUGCUUUACACAUGCAAGUCGAACGGCAGCGCGGGCUUCGGCCUGGCGGCGAGUGGCGAACGGGUGAGUAAUGCAUCGGAACUUGCCCAUUAGUGGGGGAUAGCCCGGCGAAAGCCGGAUUAAUACCGCAUACGACCUGAGGGUGAAAACGGGUGACCGAAAGGCCUCGCGCUUUUGAGGCGGCCGAGGUCGGAUUAGCUAGUUGGUGGGGUAAAGGCUUACCAAGGCGACGAUCCGUAGCUGGUCUGAGAGGACGACCAGCCACACUGGGACUGAGACACGGCCCAGACUCCUACGGGAGGCAGCAGUAGGGAAUUUUGGACAAUGGGGGCAACCCUGAUCGAGCCACGCCGCGUGAGGGAAGAAGGCCUUCGGGUUGUAAAACGCUUUUGUUCGGGAAGAAAUCCUCUGGGAUAAUACCCCGGGGGGAUGACGGUACCGAACGAAUAAGCACCGGCUAACUACGUG